rnacentral:lncRNA from 1 species
UUUCUCAGCUCCUACACCCUGUCCAACAGAAGAAGCAAAAUGUUCCCCAAAUUUAUCAGCCUCCUGUGUGUAGGAUUGUCUUUGGGCCAGAGGAUCUGGGCACAAAAGGAUUCACAAUUUCAUCAGGACACUUCAAAGCUGAACAUUCUCAGUGGACUCUUGGUAUUCUUCAUCACCAUUGGCAUUUUCUUCCUUAUUCUUAUUUGUCACUGGUGUUCUACCAAAAACCGACGACGUCUUCCAAGACUCUUGACUCAUUCACCAACAAAUGAUACCAUUAUAGACAAAGAGCUUAAGGAAGACCAAAUAAUGGAUGGCAAUGUGAGUCCUCUCCAUACCAAAUCGUCACCAAAGUUUCAGUCCCUCCACAUACCCAGAUUCCACCACCAAUAAUUGAAUCUCACCCCUUGUUCUUCCCCUUCCCAUUUCUAGGACACUGAAGCAGAAGGACUACCUGAGGUGAUCUAUGCCCAGUUGAACCACUGGACUCUCACCGAGAGAGGAGACAGUCCCACUUCCCAGAGUCAUAAAUAUUUCUCAGAUGAUCCCAGUAUCUACAUAGAACUUCCCACACGACAAGCCUCUGCUGAGUUGA